rnacentral:rRNA from 1 species
AGAGUUUGAUCAUGGCUCAGGAUGAACGCUGGCGGCAUGCCUAACACAUGCAAGUCGAACGGGGUUUAUAUGACGGAACUCUCCGGAGGGAAGAUAUAUAAACCUAGUGGCGGACGGGUGAGUAACGCGUGGGCAACCUGCCCUGUACCGGGGGACAACAGCCAGAAAUGGCUGCUAAUACCGCAUAAGCCUGCUGUGCCGCAUGGCACAGCAGGGAAAACCACGGUGGUACAGGAUGGGCCCGCGUCUGAUUAGUUAGUUGGCAGGGUAACGGCCUACCAAGACAACGAUCAGUAGCCGGCUUGAGAGAGUGGACGGCCACAUUGGGACUGAGACACGGCCCAGACUCCUGCGGGAGGCAGCACCGGGGAAUAUUGCACAAUGGGGGGAACCCUGAUGCAGCAAUGCCGCGUGGGUGAAGAAGCACUCCGGUGCGUAAAGCCCUGUCAGCAGGGAAGAAAAUGACAGUACCUGGACAAGAAGCCCCGGCUAACUACGUGCCAGCAGCCGCGGUAAUACGUAGGGGGCAAGCGUUAUCCGGAUUUACUGGGUGUAAAGGGAG